rnacentral:rRNA from 1 species
UGGGGAAUAUUGCACAAUGGGGGAAACCCUGAUGCAGCGACGCCGCGUGAACGAAGAAGGUAUUCGUAUCGUAAAGUUCUGUCCUAUGGGAAGAUAAUGACAGUACCAUAGAAGAAAGCUCCGGCUAAAUACGUGCCAGCAGCCGCGGUAAUACGUAUGGAGCGAGCGUUGUCCGGAAUUAUUGGGCGUAAAGGGUACGCAGGCGGUUUAAUAAGUCGAAUGUUAAAGAUCGGUGCUCAACCCCGCAAAGCAUUGGAAACUGAUAAACUUGAGUAGUGGAGAGGAAAGUAGAAUUCCUAGUGUAGUGGUGAAAUACGUAGAUAUUAGGAGGAAUACCAGUAGCGAAGGCGACUUUCUGGACACAAACUGACGCUGAGGUACGAAAGCGUGGGGAGCAAACAGG